UGAAGGGGUGGCCACGGGAGUGCCUCCGCCCAUGACAGCAGUGUGCAGGAAGCUGACCUGGAGCUGGGAAGCCGGGAGAAGGCACGUGGGGUUCCACCUAGAUAAACCCCAAAAAGACAGCUCCAGUGAGGGCCUAGCAAACCUGAGACCAGCCACCAGCCUCUGAGACAGCGCUGGACCCCAAGACUCUGCAGGAUUCGCCUCAGUGCAGAGGCUCUGGAUUCUCUGGCUCUGAGGCGAGAUGGGAGCUGUCCUCCCAGUGGUGCUGAAACUCGGGCCGCCUCCGUUGGGGUCACCGACAGAGGCUCACUUGUUCAGGCACUUCCUGGGUCAGCCUUUCCGCCUCUGAGACGGGCUCUCCCAUCUCAGAUGGGAGAUUCUGCCUGGAAGGGAAGUAGUCCACGCCAUCAUCAUUCCCCGAAACCUUAAUAGCCACCUAACUGGAUUCACCACUUCUCGUCUUGCCUCCUCAAUUCAUUCUCCACUCAGUACCCAGAGUGGUCUUUUCAAGAAGCAAAUCUGAUCCUGUG
rnacentral:lncRNA from 1 species